CAAAAGGCCACGACGUGGCUCCAAACGCUAGAGACUGCUAGCAAUUUGCAAGUUUAUGUGAAAAGCUUUGUGGUUUUCCAACACCCUGAGUAGUUCUAGCCAAAAUGCGUGAUUGGCCUCACACUAGACGCUUGCUGUAAUUGUGUCUCUGUAUUAAACUGACCGUCCUUUGGAGCUUCAGAAUGGACCAGGAGGAAAAGGUAAAUACCAAGCUCGCUACAACCUCAGAGGCAUCAACGCCCUCCUGCUACAGACGCAUCUGUUCUCACCUGGCUCCUGCCAGCUGCCCUGGGAGAGGCCACAAAAUGCCCUCCAUGGACAGAAGACCUGAGAACCUUCGGGGCUCCUGCUGUCACUCACUGUGUUGAAGAACCGCCCGGUCAGCACCCUGGGCCCUACACACAUACACACACGGCUCUGCGGAUGACGAGGAAGUGCCGUCAGAUGAGACUUCACCGUGAAAAAUCUGCAGAGACACAACAAUCUCGCUGAAUUAAAACUACAGACUGUAAUUUAUAAAAACUGUCUGUUUCAAAAGCCCCAAAUGUUU
rnacentral:lncRNA from 1 species